GACGAACGCUGGCGGCGUGCCCAACACAUGCAAGUCAACUUGACUGAAGGAGCAAUCUGACAGUAGAGUGGCGCAAGGGUGCGUAACGCGUAAGUAACUUGCCCCAAGGUAAGGAAUAACGUCGAGAAAUCGGCGCUAAUACCUCAUAAUGCAGCGGAUCCGCAUGGAUAUGUUGUUAAAGGUUUACCGCUUGGAUAGGCUUGCGUCUGAUUAGCUAGUUGGUGUGGUAACGGCACACCAAGGCUACGAUCAGUAACUGGUCUGAGAGGAUGAUCAGUCACACUGGAACUGAGACA
rnacentral:rRNA from 1 species